rnacentral:snRNA from 1 species
AUACUUACAUGGCAGAGGAGAUACCAUGAUCAUUAGGGUGGUCUACCCAGGCGAGGCUUAUCAGUUGCACUCAGGAUAUGCUCAACCCCUGCGAUUUCCCCAAAUGCGGGGAAACUCAACUGCAUAAUUUGAGGUAAUGGGAGCAAUGAGUUCGCGCUCUCCCA